UACGUAGGGACCAAGCGUUGUUCGGAUUUACUGGGCGUAAAGAGCGCGCAGGCGGUCGUCCAAGUCGCGUGUGAAAGCCCCCGGCUCAACUGGGGAGGGUCACGCGAUACUGGUCGACUCGAAGGCAGGAGAGGGUAGUGGAAUUCCCGGUGUAGUGGUGAAAUGCGUAGAUAUCGGGAGGAACACCAGUGGCGAAGGCGGCUUCCUGGCCUGUUCUUGACGCUGAGGCGCGAAAGCUAGGGGAGCAAACGGG
rnacentral:rRNA from 1 species